rnacentral:tRNA from 1 species
CCUGAUGGCUCAGUUGGUAAAGAGUGUGCCUGCAACGCAGGAGACUCAGGUUCAAUUCCUGAGUCAGGA